UACGAAGGGGGCUAGCGUUGUUCGGAUUUACUGGGCGUAAAGCGCACGUAGGCGGUUGGUUAAGUCAGGGGUGAAAUCCCGCAGCUCAACUGCGGAACUGCCUUUGAUACUGGCCAUCUCGAGUCCGGAAGAGGUGAGUGGAACUCCUAGUGUAGAGGUGGAAUUCGUAGAUAUUAGGAAGAACACCAGUGGCGAAGGCGGCUCACUGGUCCGGAACUGACGCUGAGGUGCGCAAGCGUGGGGAGCAAACAGG
rnacentral:rRNA from 1 species